GUCCACGCCGUAAACGAUGAUGACUAGCUGUCGGGGCUCAUGGAGCUUCGGUGGCGCAGCUAACGCGUUAAGUCAUCCGCCUGGGGAGUACGGUCGCAAGAUUAAAACUCAAAGAAAUUGACGGGGGCCUGCACAAGCGGUGGAGCAUGUGGUUUAAUUCGAAGCAACGCGCAGAACCUUACCAGCGUUUGACAUGGUAGGACGAUUUCUGGAGACAGAUCUCUUCCCUUACGGGACCUACACACAGGUGCUGCAUGGCUGUCGU
rnacentral:rRNA from 1 species